rnacentral:rRNA from 1 species
GGGAGUGCCUUCGGGAGCGCAGUGACAGGUGGUGCAUGGCUGUCGUCAGCUCGUGUCGUGAGAUGUUGGGUUAAGUCCCGCAACGAGCGCAACCCACGUCUUUAGUUGCCAGCAUUAGUUGGGCACUCUAGAGAGACUGCCGGUGAUAAACCGGAGGAAGGGUGGAUGACGUCAAGUCAUCAUGCCCCUUACAUCCUGGGCUACACACGUACUACAAUGCUACGGACAAAGGGCAGCAAACUCGCGAGAGCUAGCAAAUCCCAUAAACCGUGGCUCAGUUCAGAUCGUAGGCUGCAACUCGCCUACGUGAAGGAGGAAUCGCUAGUAAUCGCAGGUCAGCAUACUGCGGUGAAUACGUUCCCGGGCCUUGUACACACCGCCCGUCACACCAUGGAAGUUGGCCACGCCCGAAGUCGUUACUCCAACCCUUGUGGAGGAGGAUGCCGAAGGUGGGGCUGAUGACUGGGGUGAAGUCGUAACAAGGUAGCCGUACCGGAAGGUGC